AGCAGCCGCGGUAAUUCCAGCUCCAAUAGCGUAUAUUAAAGUUGUUGCAGUUAAAAAGCUCGUAGUUGAAUUUUAGGUCUGACCGGACGGUCCGUCUCUGGCGAGUACUGUUCUGCUGUCGGGUCUAUCCUUCUGGUGAGCCGGUAUGUCCUUAAUUGGGUGUGUCGGGGAACCAGGACCAUUACCUUGAAAAAAUUAGAGUGUUUAAAGCGGGCUUUUGCUUGAAUAGAUUAGCAUGGAAUAAUAGAAUAGGACGUUGGUUCUAUUUUGUUGGUCUAGGACCACCGUAAUGAUUAAUAGGGAUAGUUGGGGGCAUUAGUAUUCAAUUGUCAGAGGUGAAAUUCUUGGAUUUAUUGAAGACUAACUACUGCGAAAGCAUUUGCCAAGGAUGUUUUCAUUAAUCAAGAACGAAAGUUAGGGGAUCGAAGACGAUCAGAUACCGUCGUAGUCUUAACCAUAAACUAUGCCGACUAGGAAUCGGGCGACGUUAUUUCAUGACUCGCUCGGCGCCUUAUGGGAA
rnacentral:rRNA from 1 species